UACAGAGGGUGCAAGCGUUAAUCGGAAUUUACUGGGCGUAAAGCGUGCGUAGACGGUUUACAUAAGUCGGGUGUGAAAGCCCCGGGCUCAACCUGGGAAUUGCAUUCGAGACUGCGUAGCUAGGGUGCGGAAGAGGGAAGCGGAAUUUUCCGGUGUAGCGGUGAAAUGCGUAGAUAUCGGAAGGAACACCAGUGGCGAAAAGCGGCUUUCCUGGUCCAGCACCGACGUCAGGCACGAAAGCGUGGGGAGCAAAC
rnacentral:rRNA from 1 species